rnacentral:rRNA from 1 species
GGUGCUUGCACCUUUCAAGUGAGUGGCGAACGGGUGAGUAACACGUGGACAACCUGCCUCAAGGCUGGGGAUAACAUUUGGAAACAGAUGCUAAUACCGAAUAAAACUUAGUGUCGCAUGACACAAAGUUAAAAGGCGCUUCGGCGUCACCUAGAGAUGGAUCCGCGGUGCAUUAGUUAGUUGGUGGGGUAAAGGCCUACCAAGACAAUGAUGCAUAGCCGAGUUGAGAGACUGAUCGGCCACAUUGGGACUGAGACACGGCCCAAACUCCUACGGGAGGCUGCAGUAGGGAAUCUUCCACAAUGGGCGAAAGCCUGAUGGAGCAACGCCGCGUGUGUGAUGAAGGCUUUCGGGUCGUAAAGCACUGUUGUAUGGGAAGAACAGCUAGAAUAGGAAAUGAUUUUAGUUUGACGGUACCAUACCAGAAAGGGACGGCUAAAUACGUGCCAGCAGCCGCGGUAAUACGUAUGUCCCGAGCGUUAUCCGGAUUUAUUGGGCGUAAAGCGAGCGCAGACGGUUUAUUAAGUCUGAUGUGAAAGCCCGGAGCUCAACUCCGGAAUGGCAUUGGAAACUGGUUAACUUGAGUGCAGUAGAGGUAAGUGGAACUCCAUGUGUAGCGGUGGAAUGCGUAGAUAUAUGGAAGAACACCAGUGGCGAAGGCGGCUUACUGGACUGCAACUGACGU